UAACACUUUGUCUUUUUGGUGGUAGACUUUUAACAAGUCAGUUUUCCUAUUUACUUCCUAUUCACUUGGCCUGGUAGUGAUAUUCUCUGCGGCCUGUCAGAAGAGUAUCUGUUUAGCCGGCUGCAGAUAUGACAGCUCAUAACAUAUAUUAUGUGCAGUGCUAUUUCUGAAGAGAGGAAGGUGAUAGAUCUGAAGCAAUCAAAAGACACCAUGGCUCUGAGGACUAUUAAAACAUACAUACACAAUAACAGGAAGACUUCUGCCCUUGUCUGAGAGGCCCAUCAAACAAAAGCAUUUCCGCUCCUGGAAGAGUGGAAUUCCAGCAGAAGGCAAACAGAGAUCAAGUUGCUCAUUCUUCAUUUCCAGCUAGCAAAAGAAGAGCAUGCUUCGACACACAUUAUUAUGAUGCCAAAGAUUUCAUGUUGUUGGUGAAAUGUGCUAUCAGUUCAGUGGAUAUGGAGAAAAUG